ensembl:snRNA U6 U6 spliceosomal RNA
GUGUUUGUUUCAGCAGCACGUAUACCAAAAUUGGAAUGAUACAGAGAAGACUAGCAUGGCCCCUGUGCAACGCUGACAUGCUAAUUUGUGAAGCUUUCCAUAUUUUU